rnacentral:rRNA from 1 species
UACGAAGGGGGCUAGCGUUGCUCGGAAUGACUGGGCGUAAAGGGCGCGUAGGCGGAUGGCACAGUCAGAUGUGAAAUUCCCGGGCUUGACCUGGGGGCUGCAUUUGAUACGUGUUGUCUAGAGUGAGGAAGAGGGUUGUGGAAUUCCCAGUGUAGAGGUGAAAUUCGUAGAUAUUGGGAAGAACACCGGUGGCGAAGGCGGCAACCUGGUCCUUGACUGACGCUGAGGCGCGAAAGCGUGGGGAGCAAACAGG